rnacentral:rRNA from 1 species
GAUGAACGCUGGCGGCGUGCCUAAUACAUGCAAGUCGAGCGAACGGACGAGAAGCUUGCUUCUCUGAUGUUAGCGGCGGACGGGUGAGUAACACGUGGAUAACCUACCUAUAAGACUGGGAUAACUUCGGGAAACCGGAGCUAAUACCGGAUAAUAUUUUGAACCGCAUGGUUCAAAAGUGAAAGACGGUCUUGCUGUCACUUGUAGAUGGAUCCGCGCUGCAUUAGCUAGUUGGUAAGGUAACGGCUUACCAAGGCAACGAUGCAUAGCCGACCUGAGAGGGUGAUCGGCCACACUGGAACUGAGACACGGUCCAGACUCCUACGGGAGGCAGCAGUAGGGAAUCUUCCGCAAUGGGCGAAAGCCUGACGGAGCAACGCCGCGUGAGUGAUGAAGGUCUUCGGAUCGUAAAACUCUGUUAUUAGGGAAGAACAUAUGUGUAAGUAACUGUGCACACCUUGACGGUACCUAAUCAGAAAGCCACGGCUAACUACGUG